rnacentral:rRNA from 1 species
GCCAGACUCCUACGGGAGGCAGCAGUGGGGAAUAUUGCACAAUGGGGGAAACCCUGAUGCAGCGACGCCGCGUGAGCGAUGAAGUAUUUCGGUAUGUAAAGCUCUCUCAGCAGGGAAGAAAAUGACGGUACCUGACUAAGAAGCCCCGGCUAACUACGUGCCAGCAGCCGCGGUAAUACGUAGGGGGCAAGCGUUAUCCGGAUUUACUGGGUGUAAAGGGAGCGUAGACGGCAGUGCAAGUCCGGAGUGAAAGCCCGGGGCUCAACCCUGGGACUGCUCUGGAAACUGUAAAGCUGGAGUGCGGGAGGGGCAGGCGGAAUUCCUGGUGUAGCGGUGAAAUGCGCAGAUAUCAGGAGGAACACCGGCGGCGAAGGCGGCCUGCUGGACCGUAACUGACGUUGAGGCUCGAAAGCGUGGGGAGCAAACAGGAUUAGAUACCCCGGUAA